GGUAGUCCGGAGGUCAUUAAGACCAACGGCAGGCCAUCAUUCAAAUGUCCACCACCUUCCUAGGUCAGCAGGUGCUCACCCCUGCAGUUCGGCUUCGGUCGUUGCUUUCUUCAGGCCCUGGAGAUGAGAGUAUAGGGGAAGAGUACUUUAUCGUCGGGGCGCCGAAAGAAAAAACGGGGUAGAUUGUGGCAGUAUGAGGUGAGGAAGUGCAGUAUCAACCAAUCAGCGGAAGGGGGCGACGUAUUUAAGCAGGCGAGGAGCCAGUCUUGGACAGGGUUCGUCUGGUUGGCAGAUCGCCUGACUUCUGGCUGAUGUGGAGAUUGUUGCUGCGCAUAGAAUUGGCUAUCACCUUGAGACUGCGGUGGGAAACCUGUGUGUUGUGCUGCCUCUCGUGCUGGAACGGCUUCUCUGCGUGACGAGCGCUGGUCAUCCGGGGGAAUUUAUCUGACGGCAUUUUUUUUACGACACAGCCACCUUCUA